rnacentral:lncRNA from 1 species
AGCUGGUACAUUUAGUACGAGAACAAACGGUGAAGAUGAAGGCUGUGAUUUUGUCUCUCGUUUUAUUGGCAGCGCUCACCACCAUGACACUAUGUGGACUUCCACCUCGUCUUGGUAGGGGCCUUAAAUCCGCCUGCACUCCUUAUUGCGGCUUGGGAAUGCGGCAUGGCCAGCGGUGUGGACCACUGUGUACCUGUCAAGCGUUCUUUCACGCCCCAGGAGCGUUAGCGUGCGUGGGAAUCUACUCCAGGAGUCCAUAUGGAGUCCGUCCUCGGCCAGUACCAGGACCACAACAUUAACUUGGAGAUACUCUUCCAAGAGGCUUCCUAUGGAGUCUUUGCUCUGGAAAUAUGCUGGCCGGUUCAGUGCAUCGACGUGGUCAAAAGCGCAAUCACACCGGGGCUCACUGCUUUUUCCGGGCAACAGUAUGCACUCGGCCGGAAUAAACACGUCUAAUAAAUAUCA